rnacentral:rRNA from 1 species
CAUACCUAUUCGAAGGGAUAGGGUCGGUUUGGCCGGAUUUCACACAGGUGUUGCAUGGCUGUCGUCAGCUCGUGUCGUGAGAUGUUGGGUUAAGUCCCGCAACGAGCGCAACCCUCAUCCUUAGUUACCAUCAGGUUAUGCUGGGGACUUUAAGGAAACUGCCAGUGAUAAACUGGAGGAAGGUGGGGAUGAUGUCAAGUCAUCAUGGCCCUUAUGGAGUGGGCUACACACGUGCUACAAUGGUGAUUACAAUGGGCUGCAAGGUCGCAAGGCUGAGCUAAUCCUAAAAAAUCAUCUCAGUUCGGAUUAUUCUCUGCAACUCGAGAGCAUGAAGUUGGAAUCGCUAGUAAUCGUGGAUCAGCAUGCCACGGUGAAUACGUUCUCGGGUCUUGUACACACUGCCCGUCACGCCAUGGGAAUUGGUUUCACUCGAAGCU